CCUACGGGCGGCAGCAGUGGGGAAUAUUGGGCAAUGGGCGCAAGCCUGACCCAGCAACGCCGCGUGAAGGAUGAAGGCUUUCGGGUUGUAAACUUCUUUUAUUCGGGACGAAGAAAAUGACGGUACCGAAUGAAUAAGCCACGGCUAACUACGUGCCAGCAGCCGCGGUAAUACGUAGGUGGCAAGCGUUAUCCGGAUUUACUGGGUGUAAAGGGCGUGUAGGCGGGACUGCAAGUCAGAUGUGAAAACUAUGGGCUCAACCCAUAGCCUGCAUUUGAAACUGUAGUUCUUGAGUGCUGGAGAGGCAAUCGGAAUUCCGUGUGUAGCGGUGAAAUGCAUAGAUAUACGGAGGAACACCAGUGGCGAAGGCGGAUUGCUGGACAGUAACUGACGCUGAGGCGCGAAAGCGUGGGGAGCAAACAGGAUUAGAUACCCCGGUAGUC
rnacentral:rRNA from 1 species